AUUGAACGCUGGCGGCAGGCCUAACACAUGCAAGUCGAGCGAGCGGCGGACGGGGGAGAAAUGUCUGGGAGACAGUCUGAUGGGGGGGGAGAACUACUGGAAACGGGGGCGAAUACCGCAUAUCAUCACAUGUGUCCAGAUGGGAUUAGCGAGUAGGUGGGGUAACGGGUCACCUAGGCGACGAUCCCUAGCUGGUCUGAGAGGAUGACCAGCCACACUGGAACUGAGACACGGUCCAGACUCCUACGGGAGGCAGCAGUGGGGAAUAUUGCACAAUGGGCGCAAGCCUGAUGCAGCCAUGCCGCGUGUGUGAAGAAGGCCUUCGGGUUGUAAAGCACUUUCAGCGGGGAGGCGUUACCCGCAGAAGAAGCACCGGCUAACUCCGUGCCAGCAGCCGCGGUAAUUC
rnacentral:rRNA from 1 species